CGCGGGCCCUAWUACAUGCAAGUCGAACGGCAGCACAGCAGAGCUUGCUCUGUGGGCGGCGAGUGGCAGACGGGUGAGGAAUACAUGGGAAUCUGCCCAGUCGUGGGGGAUAACGUAUGGAAACGUACGCUAAUACCGCAUGCGCCCUACGGGGGAAAGUCGGGGACCGCAAGGCCUGACGCGAUUGGAUGAGCCCAUGUUCGAUUAGCUAGUUGGCGGGGUAAAGGCCCACCAAGGCGACGAUCGAUAGCUGGUCUGAGAGGAUGAUCAGCCACACUGGAACUGAYACACGGUCCAGACUCCUACGGGAGGCAGCAGUGGGGAAUAUUGGACAAUGGGCGCAAGCCUGAUCCAGCCAUGCCGCGUGGGUGAAGAAGGCCUUCGGGUUGUAAAGCCCUUUUGUUGGGAAAGAAAUCCUGUCGGUUAAUACCUGGCGGGGAUGACGGUACCCAAAGAAUAAGCACCGGCUAACUUCGUGCCAGCAGCCGCGGUAAUACGAAGGGUGCAAGCGUUACUCGGAAUUACUGGGCGUAAAGCGUGCGUAGGCGGUUCGUUAAGUCUGUCGUGAAAGCCCUGGGCUCAACCUGGGAAUUGCGAUGGAUACUGGCGAGCUAGAGUACGGUAGAGGAUGGUGGAAUUCCCGGUGUAGCGGUGAAAUGCGUAGAGAUCGGGAGGAACACCCGUGGCGAAGGCGACUGCCUGGACCAGCACUGACACUGAGGCACGAAAGCGUGGGGAGCAAAACAGGAUUAGAUACCCUGGUASUCCACGCCCCUAAACGAUGCGAACUGGGAUGUUGGGUUCAACUUGGAAACUCAGUU
rnacentral:rRNA from 1 species